UGGGGAAUAUUGGACAAUGGGCGAAAGCCUGAUCCAGCCAUGCCGCGUGUGUGAAGAAGGUCUUCGGAUUGUAAAGCACUUUAAGUUGGGAGGAAGGGCAGUAAGCGAAUACCUUGCUGUUUAGACGUUACCGACAGAAUAAGCACCGGCUAACUCUGUGCCAGCAGCCGCGGUAAUACAGAGGGUGCAAGCGUUAAUCGGAAUUACUGGGCGUAAAGCGCGCGUAGGUGGUUCGUUAAGUUGAAUGUGAAAGCCCCGGGCUCAACCUGGGAACUGCAUCCAAAACUGGCGAGCUAGAGUAGGGCAGAGGGUGGUGGAAUUUCCUGUGUAGCGGUGAAAUGCGUAGAUAUAGGAAGGAACACCAGUGGCGAAGGCGACCACCUGGGCUCAUACUGACACUGAGGUGCGAAAGCGUGGGGAGCAAACAGG
rnacentral:rRNA from 1 species